GACGAACGCUGGCGGCGUGCUUAACACAUGCAAGUCGAACGGAAAGGCCCUGCUUUUGUGGGGUGCUCGAGUGGCGAACGGGUGAGUAACACGUGAGUAACCUGCCCUUGACUUUGGGAUAACUUCAGGAAACUGGGGCUAAUACCGGAUAGGAGCUCCUGCUGCAUGGUGGGGGUUGGAAAGUUUCGGCGGUUGGGGAUGGACUCGCGGCUUAUCAGCUGGUUGGUGGGGUAGUGGCUUACCAAGGGUUUGACGGGUAGCCGGCCUGAGAGGGUGACCGGCCACAUUGGGACUGAGAGACGGCCCAGACUCCUACGGGAGGCAGCAGUGGGGAAUAUUGCACAAUGGGCGGAAGCCUGAUGCAGCAACGCCGCGUGCGGGAUGACGGCCUUCGGGUUGUAAACCGCUUUCGCCUGUGACGAAGCGUGAGUGACGGUAAUGGGUAAAGAAGCACCGGCUAACUACGUG
rnacentral:rRNA from 1 species